UCUAAUGAGCUCAGUCGAGAUCACCCGCUGAACUUAAAGCAUAUCAGUAAGCGGAGGAAAAGAAACUAAAUAGGAUUCCCUCAGUAACGGCGAGUGAACUGGGAAAUGUCCAUCGCUAAAUCAUUUUGCAUCAAACAUCAUGAGGUGUAGCGUAUAAGCCGUGAUCUUUGAUCAGUUAUCUCAAACAAGUCCUCUUGACAGAGGUUCCAAAGAAGGUGCAAGUCCUGUACAUUGGGAUAACUGAUUGAUAUUUGCGUACUUUAGAGUCGGGUUGCUUGGGAUCGCAGCCCAAAGUCGGUGGUAAACUUCAUCUAAGACUUAAUAUUGCCACGAGUCCGAUAGCAAAUCAAGUACUGUGAAGGAAAGUUGCAAAGCACUUUGAAGAGAGAGUUAAAGAGGACGUGAAACCGGUGAGGAGGAAACGGAUAGAGUCGGCGUAUCUUGCAAGUAUUCAAUUACUUUAUUAUUGUGUUGUUAUCUCUGAGCUCCAGAUUGGGACAGAGGAAAGCAGCAUGAUUUAAUGUGAUGCAUUUACUUGUCUGGUGUGUGGGGGUAUCUAAGAUGGAUUUGCAACCAAUGUUUUGAGGCCAGCUUGCUGGUACCCAAACAUUGUUAACAUUUUUUAUCUUGGAUAUUCGAGUACGGCUUACGUGCAUUUUUUGUAUUGAUCUAAGUGCAAGUUACGGUCGCAUGCGACACGUGCUUUUCAUUUAGUUCGGUGCAGUUAAUGCUCUCGUACUCUCCCCCCAUGUAAAAGCCGGUCAUCUAUUUGACCCGUCUUGAAACACGGACCAAGGAGUUUAUCGUGUGCGCAAGUUUUUGGGUGUUAAAAACCUAGAAGCGAAAUGAAAGUAAAUGAUUCUUUAGAGUCUGAUGUGCAAUCUUUUUUCAGAAAAGUGCAUCAUGGCCCCAUUCUAACUGUUUACAGUAGGAUGCCGGAAGAGCGUACGCGGUGAGACCCGAAAGAUGGUGAACUAUUCCUGAGCAGGACGAAGCCAGAGGAAACUCUGGUGGAAGUCCGAAGCGGUUCUGACGUGCAAAUCGAUCGUCUGACUUGGGUAUAGGGGCGAAAGACUAAUCGAACCAUCUAGUAGCUGGUUCCCUCUGAAGUUUCCCCCAGGAUAGCUGGAACUCAAGAGUAGUUAUACUCGGUAAAGCGAAUGAUUAGAGGACUUGGGAACGAAAUGUUCUUAACCUAUUCUCAAACUCUAAAUGGGUAUGAUGUCAAAGUUGCUUGAUUUUGAACUUUGACGUUGAAUACGAGUUCCAAGUGGGCCAUUUUUGGUAAGCAGAACUGGCGAUGUGGGAUGAACCAAACGCAGAGUUGCGGUGCCAAAGUGCCCGCUCAUUAGACCCCAUAAAAGGUGUUGGUUGAUACAGACAGCAGGACGGUGGCCAUGGAAGUCGGAAUCCGCUAAGGAGUGUGUAACAACUCACCUGCCGAAUCAACUAGCCCUGAAAAUGGAUGGCGCUGGAGCGGGUCACCUAUACUCUGCCGUCAUGUGCUUGUACUCUUCUUAGAAGUCUUGCAAUGACGUGUACGAGGCUCGUAGUGGUUGCGUUGAAGGUUUUGGGUGUGCACCCAACUGGAU
rnacentral:ncRNA from 1 species